CAGCACCUCAAGUGGUCAGGAUGAUUAUUGGGCCUAAAGCAUCCGUAGCCGGCGCUGUAAGUUUUCGGUUAAAUCCAUACGCUCAACGUAUGGGCUGCCGGGAAUACUGCAAAGCUAGGGAGUGGGAGAGGUAGACGGUACUCGGUAGGAAGGGGUAAAAUCCUUUGAUCUAUUGAUGACUACCUGUGGCGAAGGCGGUCUACCAGAACACGUCCGACGGUGAGGGAUGAAAGCUGGGGGAGCAAACCAGAUUAGAUACCCGAGUAGUCC
rnacentral:rRNA from 1 species